rnacentral:rRNA from 2 species
GAUGAACGCCGGCGGUGUGCCUAAUACAUGCAAGUCGAACGCGUUGGCCCAAUUGAUUGAUGGUGCUUGCACCUGAUUGAUUUUGGUCGCCAACGAGUGGCGGACGGGUGAGUAACACGUAGGUAACCUGCCCAGAAGCGGGGGACAACAUUUGGAAACAGAUGCUAAUACCGCAUAACAGCGUUGUUCGCAUGAACAACGCUUAAAAGAUGGCUUCUCGCUAUCACUUCUGGAUGGACCUGCGGUGCAUUAGCUUGUUGGUGGGGUAACGGCCUACCAAGGCGAUGAUGCAUAGCCGAGUUGAGAGACUGAUCGGCCACAAUGGGACUGAGACACGGCCCAUACUCCUACGGGAGGCAGCAGUAGGGAAUCUUCCACAAUGGGCGCAAGCCUGAUGGAGCAACACCGCGUGAGUGAAGAAGGGUUUCGGCUCGUAAAGCUCUGUUGUUAAAGAAGAACACGUAUGAGAGUAACUGUUCAUACGUUGACGGUAUUUAACCAGAAAGUCACGGCUAACUACGUGCCAGCAGCCGCGGUAAUACGUAGGUGGCAAGCGUUAUCCGGAUUUAUUGGGCGUAAAGAGAGUGCAGGCGGUUUUCUAAGUCUGAUGUGAAAGCCUUCGGCUUAACCGGAGAAGUGCAUCGGAAACUGGAUAACUUGAGUGCAGAAGAGGGUAGUGGAACUCCAUGUGUAGCGGUGGAAUGCGUAGAUAUAUGGAAGAACACCAGUGGCGAAGGCGGCUACCUGGUCUGUAACUGACGCUGAGACUCGAAAGCAUGGGUAGCGAACAGGAUUAGAUACCCUGGUAGUCCAUGCCGUAAACGAUGAGUGCUAGGUGUUGGAGGGUUUCCGCCCUUCAGUGCCGGAGCUAACGCAUUAAGCACUCCGCCUGGGGAGUACGACCGCAAGGUUGAAACUCAAAGGAAUUGACGGGGGCCCGCACAAGCGGUGGAGCAUGUGGUUUAAUUCGAAGCUACGCGAAGAACCUUACCAGGUCUUGACAUCUUGCGCCAACCCUAGAGAUAGGGCGUUUCCUUCGGGAACGCAAUGACAGGUGGUGCAUGGUCGUCGUCAGCCCGUGUCGUGAGAUGUUGGGUUAAGUCCCGCAACGAGCGCAACCCUUGUUACUAGUUGCCAGCAUUAAGUUGGGCACUCUAGUGAGACUGCCGGUGACAAACCGGAGGAGGGUGGGGACGACGUCAGAUCAUCAUGCCCCUUAUGACCUGGGCUACACACGUGCUACAAUGGACGGUACAACGAGUCGCGAACUCGCGAGGGCAAGCAAAUCUCUUAAAACCGUUCUCAGUUCGGACUGCAGGCUGCAACUCGCCUGCACGAAGUCGGAAUCGCUAGUAAUCGCGGAUCAGCAUGCCGCGGUGAAUACGUUCCCGGGCCUUGUACACACCGCCCGUCACACCAUGAGAGUUUGUAACACCCAAAGUCGGUGGGGUAACCUUUUAGGAGCCAGCCGCCUAAGGUGGGACAGAUGAUUAGGGUG